UUUUUUUUUCGUUUUCUUAGGCGGCUAGGGUUUUACUCAGCUAGGUAGGAUUUGUGCUGAUAACGUGUUAUAACCAAAGAAAAAGAUAGAAGAAAUUAGUGUGUUAUUUCAUUGAAUAAAGGGUCAUUUAUAUAAGAGUACAAGAGAAGGGUAAAACCCUAGAGACAUCUAGAUGAUGGGCCUUAUAAUGGGCAUCCAUAUAUUAUUCAUAACAUUUACAUUAUUUUUCAAGGGGAUUGUUUUGUUCUCCUUCAAACCAAUUUAUUUUAUUAUAAGAAUUAAACAGAAAUGUCUUUUUUAUAUUUUCACUU
rnacentral:sRNA from 1 species